rfam:Staphylococcus capitis strain CR03 genome assembly, contig: BN1517_Contig_12
AUUAACUACUAGGGGAGCCACAAGGCUGAGAUGAUAUGAUUCAGACCCUUAUAACCUGAUUUGGUUAGUACCAACGUAGGAAAGUAGUCUUUAUCAAAU